GAAUUGGUUAAUUCAGUCUCUGUGGAAUACGACCUUGCUUGCUACUGUACACAAUUGCACCCGUACACUUGCGGCGUGUUCAUAAAAUAGCGAACAAGUUUUUGGCGCCGUUGCCGGGGACUGAUUUUUAUCAGUACUAUCUGUUGAUUAUUUGAUACUAAUCUGGAUUUUUUUUUGUUAUUUUUAUUUAUUUUCUCUAUUUUUCUUUUGGUUCUUAUUUUUUGGUUCUGGAGUUUUUCCAGGUAGUGCAUGAGCAGCUAUGGAGAUUUUUGAUAGCAUGGGCACUACAUGCUAUCAAUGGCCAGCCGAGAGGGUAUAUUUGGAGAAUGUUGCUGCCACCACAAAUUCUGAUUCAGUUACUUUGUUAGCCACUCAAAUCGCU
rnacentral:lncRNA from 1 species